rnacentral:sRNA from 1 species
UCAAAAGCUGCUGUUCUGUGACCCCUGUCCCGGCCCUGCGCGCACCCCCAACCAUCGUGCAGGAGGAGAGACUCCUCAGAGGGUUGCACUUGUUCCUAAAAGCAGCAGGAGCUAUUUCGAUGACUGCAACAUUUAUAAAAGAAGAAAUCACAACCUCCUUCAACAGCUCUUUGACCUGAAGAGUGUCGUUUUGAGUUGGGGUGUCCAGAGCGGCAGCCGUAGCUCCAAGAGGCAGAUGUGCAGAGAGAGCUUUGCUUUGACCACACGGGGCAGGAGCAGGGCCCAGCCAGGGAGAGUCCGGGGCCUCAGCUCACAUCCCCUGGCGUUCUUUUUUGUUUGUUUCUCAUUUGAGACGGAGUCUCGCUCUGUCGCCCAGCCUGGAGUGCAGUGGCAUGAUCUUGGCUCACUGUAACCUCCGUCUCCCGGGUUCAAGUGAUUCUUCUGCCUCAGCCUCCCGAGUAGCUGGGACUACAGGUGCCUGCCAUCACACUCAGCUAAUUGUUGUAUUUUUAGUAGAGAUGGGGGUUUCACCAUAUUGGUCAGGCUGGUCUGGAUCUCCUGUCCUCAGGUGAUCUGCCCGCCUCAGCCUUCCAAAGCGCUGGGAUUACAGGCAUGAACUACCGUGCCCGACUCACACCCUGGCAUUCUUUCAGGGACUGCCAAAAAGAGCAAGAUCCUGUCCAAGGAAGAACAGAAGGUGGUUGCGUUUCAUGAGUCGGGCCACGCCUUGGUGGGCUGGAUGCUGGAGCACACAGAGGCCGUGAUGAAGGUCUCCAUAGCCCCUCGGACAAACGCCGCCCUGGGCUUUGCUCAGAUGCUCCCCAGAGACCAGCACCUCUUCACCAAGGAGCAGCUGUUUGAGCGGAUGUGCAUGGCCCUGGGGGGACGGGCCUCAGAAGCACUGUCCUUCAACAAGGUCACUUCUGGGGCACAGGACGACCUGAGGAAGGUCACCCGUAUUGCCUACUCCAUGGUGAAGCAGUUUGGGAUGGCACCUGGCAUCGGGCCCAUCUCCUUCCCUGAGGCCCAGGAGGGCCUCAUGGGCAUCGGGCGGCGCCCCUUCAGCCAAGGCCUGCAGCAGAUGAUGGACCAUGAAGCAAGACUGCUGGUGGCCAAGGCCUACAGACACACGGAGAAGGUGCUGCAGGACAACCUGGACAAGCUGCAGGCGCUGGCAAACGCCCUUCUGGAAAAGGAAGUGAUAAACUAUGAGGACAUUGAGGCUCUCAUUGGCCCACCGCCCCAUGGGCCGAAGAAAAUGAUCGCACCGCAGAGGUGGAUCGACGCCCAGAGGGAGAAACAGGACUUGGGAGAGGAGGAGACCGAAGAGACCCAGCAGCCCCCACUUGGAGGCGAAGAGCCGACUUGGCCCAAGUAGUUGGGACGUGUUGGCCGCAUGUGCGGGUGGUCCGGGAAGUGAGGGCUCACUCAGCCACCCUGAGUUGCUUUUCAGCUGAGUUUGCAUUUCCUCUCACGGCCCUCAGUAGUCCCUGCACAGUGACUUCUGAGAUCUGUUUAUUGAUGACCCUUUUCAUGAUUUUAAGUUUCUCUGCAGAAACUACUGACGGAGUCCUGUGUUUGUGAGUCGUUUCCCCCAUGGGGAAGGUUAUCAGUGCUUUCCCGAGUGAGCGUGGAACACCUCGAGUUCCCAGGGUUAUGGACAGUCAUUCCCAGUGUGGCUGAGGCCACCCAGAGGCAGCAGAGCAUUCAGACUCCGAACAGACCCCUGUUCAUGCCAACGCUUGCACGGCCGCCCCAGUUCCUGUGGCUCCCUCGGAAUGCUAAGGGGAUCAGACAUGAAAGGACCCUGUGAGCCGAUUGUCCUAUCUCCAGCGGCCCUGUUAUCCAGCUCGCUCAUCAAUGGGGCCACACAGUCAGGCCCAGGCACUGAGCUCCAGAGGACUUAACACUGCCCCCUGCUGCCAUGUGGACUGGUGCAAGUUGAGGAUUUUUUGGUGGUCUAGUCACGCGUGCAGUGUUGGGGAUGCCUUGGUUUUUACUGCUCUGAGAACUGUUGAGAUACUUUACUAAUAAACUCUGUGGUUGGAAAA